rnacentral:rRNA from 1 species
GAUGAACGCUAGCGGGAGGCUUAAUACAUGCAAGUCGAGGGGUAUAAUUUAUUUCGGUAGAUUAGAGACCGGCGGACGGGUGAGUAACGCGUACACUACCUACCAUAUACUAGGGGAUAGCCUUUGGAAACGGAGAGUAAUACCCUAUGUGAUCUUCGGAUUAAAGUUUCGGCGGUAUAUGAUGGGUGUGCGUAUCAUUAGCUAGUUGGUGAGGUAAGGGCUCACCAAGGCUACGAUGAUUAGGGGGCGUGAGAGCGUGAUCCCCCACACGGGUACUGAGACACGGACCCGACUUCUACGGAAGGCAGCAGUAAGGAAUAUUGGACAAUGGGCGCAAGCCUGAUCCAGCCAUCCCGCGUGCAGGAUGACGGCCCUAUGGGUUGUAAACUGCUUUUAUAUAAGAAGAAUAGCUUGUAUUUAUAUGAGUGUGACGGUACUAUAUGAAUAAGCACCGGCUAACUCCG